rnacentral:rRNA from 1 species
CCUACGGGGAGCAGCAGUGAGGAAUAUUGGUCAAUGGACGCAAGUCUGAACCAGCCAUGCCGCGUGCAGGAAGACGGCUCUAUGAGUUGUAAACUGCUUUUGUACGAGGGUAAACGCAGAUACGCGUAUCUGUCUGAAAGUAUCGUACGAAUAAGGAUCGGCUAACUCCGUGCCAGCAGCCGCGGUAAUCCGGAGGAUUCAAGCGUUAUCCGGAUUUAUUGGGUUUAAAGGGUGCGUAGGCGUUCGGAUAAGUUAGAGGUGAAAUCCCGAGGCUCAACUUCGGAAUUGCUUCUGAUACUGUUCGGCGAGAGAGUAGUUGCGGUAGGCGGAAUGUAUGGUGUAGCGGUGAAAUGCUUAGAGAUCAUACAGAACACCGAUUGCGAAGGCAGCUUACCAAGCUACUUCUGACGUUGAGGCACGAAAGCGUGGGGAGCAAACAGGAUUAGAUACCCCAGUAGUC